UACGGAGGGUGCGAGCGUUGUCCGGAAUCACUGGGCGUAAAGGGCGCGUAGGCGGCCGUGUAAGUCACUUGUGAAAUCCCGGGGCUCAACUCCGGGGCCGCAGGUGAGACUGCGUGGCUAGAGCACGGUAGAGGCGAGUGGAAUUCCCGGUGUAGCGGUGGAAUGUGUAGAUAUCUGGAGGAAUACCGGUGGCGAAGGCGGCAUCCUGGACCGAAACUGACGCUGAGGCGCGAAAGCUAGGGGAGCAAACGGG
rnacentral:rRNA from 1 species